rnacentral:rRNA from 1 species
CCCUUAGAUGUUCUGGGCUGCACGCGUGCUACACUGAUAUUGCCAAUAUGUCAUUCUUAUCCGAAAUGGAUUGGGUAAUCAAGUAAUGAAAUUUCAUGCUUGGAAUCGGUAAUUGCAAUUUUAUCGUGAACGAGGAAUUCCUAGUAAGCACUAGUCAUCAGCUAAUGUUGAUUAUGUCCCUGCCCUUUGUACACACCGCCCGUCGCUACUACUGAUUGGGUGUUCAAGUGAGAUGCUUAGACCCUUGUUGCAUGGUUCAUUUUUGUGCUCCGAAAGGAAAAAGUUUCAAGCUUGAGUGUCUAGAGGAAGUAAAAGUCGUAACA